GACGAACCGUGCAAACGUUGUUCGGAAUCACUGGGCUUAAAGGGCGCGUAGGCGGCUUACCAAGUCAGGGGUGAAAUCUUUCGGCUUAACCGGAAAAGUGCUUCUGAUACUGGUGGGCUAGAGGGAGGUAGGGGCAUGCGGAACUUCCGGUGGAGCGGUGAAAUGCGUUGAUAUCGGAAGGAACGCCGGUGGCGAAAGCGGCGUGCUGGAUCUCUUCUGACGCUGAGGCGCGAAAGCUAGGGGAGCGAACGGG
rnacentral:rRNA from 1 species